UGAUGCCCUUUGUAAAGAGGGUAGGUUUUAGAGGCUCAAAAUAUUUUUGAAAGAAUGAUUCAACAAGGUGUUGAGCCUGAUAUAGUUACCUAUAAUUCAUUGCUUGAUGGAUAUUGUUUGCAAGGUGAAAUGGCUGCGGCUAGAAAAUUAUUCAAUUCAAUAACUAACAAGGGUUGUGUACCUAAUGUAUUUAGUUACAGCAUCAUUAUCAAUGGAUAUUGUAAAGCUAAAAGGAUUGAUGAGGCAAUGGAACUUUUUCAUGAAAUGACUCGAAAUGGAUUAAUCCCUAAUGUUGUUACUUACAGCACUCUUAUAGGUGGCAUGUCACAGGUUGGGAGACUUGCAUUUGCACAAGAACUUUUCAAAGAAAUGAGUGCUCGUGGCCUAGUUCCAAACGUGAUCACUUACUCUACUUUAUUGGAUGGCUUAUGCAAGCAUGGUCAUAUUCAUGAGGCAUUGGGACUUUUUCAUGUAAUGCAGAAUAGUGGGUUAGAUCCUAACAUUGUCCAUUAUUCUAUCUUAAUUGAUGGCUUGUGUCGAGUUGGGCAACUUAAAGUUGCAAGGAAAUUAUUUUGUGCUCUCAAAGUCAAAGGGAUACACCCUAAUGUUCAAACAUAUAAUAUAAUGAUCAGAGGAAUUUGUAAAGAAGGGCUGCAGAAUGAAGCAUACAAACUGUUUAGUAAAAUGGAAUUGGAUGGUUGCAUGCCGGAUAGUUGCUCUUAUAAUGUGAUGAUUACAGGAUUUCUUCGAAACAAUGACAUAUCAAGGGGAGUACAAAUUCUUCAUGAAAUGGUUAACAAAGGAUUUUCUGCAAAUGCAUCUGUAGCAGCCAUGCUAGUGGAUCUAAUGUGUAGUGAUUCGACGGGUGAAUAUAUUCGUGCAGUAGUUCAGAAACUUUGAAGACUAUCAAAGUUCUAAUACAGAGUGAUUUCUUCCCAGCCAAUAUUGGUGCAAUAAAUCCAAACAAGUUUUAUAAUCUGUAGGGGUUGGUAAUAAAUAUCUACGCAGUCCCUAAUUCCAUCAUAUGAACUUCAUAUAGAAGGCAGUAUUUUACUCCUUGAUUAGGCAUUAGGCAGCAUGCAAGUAUCCUACUAAAUUCAGGAAGAAGGCUGAUUUGGAAUUUUUCAGCCUGCAGGUGCUCUUUUUUCUUCUGUUUCUCUCCUCUGGUUUUUUUUUUUUUUGUUUUUUUCCCUAGGGAACCUAUAUUGCAAUGCCACUAUUGUUGCCAUCCCUGGCAAUGUUACGGAGUUUCACAUCUGUCUGAAGCUGUUUAUUGUGGCUUUUGCUCUUAAGUGUUUGUUAUAUCAUCUGCAAAGAAUGCAAUGCAAGCAUGAAAGAUGUACAGCCAGGCUAGAGCUAUAUGCAUCUUCUCCUUUUCUCUGCUCUAAGCAUUUUGGUUAUUGGUUUUUUCACUUCUGUUUCUAAUUGUUUAUCAUUACUGAUUAAAAUAAGUAAUUUCUUAGUUUAUGCCUCUGUAUAAUUCAGCAAGUUAAUUAUACUAUAGCAUUCUUCGGGUUCAAAAGUCUUUUCUUUCCAAUCAAACAAGCUUAGAGUAUUGUGGCCUAAAAUUAUAAGUGCAUCUAUAAUUCUUAUUGACUCUUCUGUGCUGUUUUAAAUGCUUUUACUAACUUCCUUGGCCAUGAUUUUCACAAGUAUGGUUGAAUGGUAGUUACAAUCACAGUGAAAAAAAUGCUCAUACUAAAUUCAUGGUAAUUAGUAUGCAUGAGUUUUGAAAGAUAAUUUAUUAUAAUAGAAAUUUCAUAUAAAUUUUCAUUUUUAGGUACAUACACAAAAAGUAUUAGUAUCAAGUCUUUUUUUGUUUAUCCAUUAAAUUGUAAAUAAAGAAGUAUUGAAUGCAGAAGUUUGUGAUUGAUAUACGGAUUAAUUUUAUUUAUUUAAAUAUUUGUAUAAUUAUAUAAAUUUAUAUCUUUAAUUUACAUGUAUAAAAUUUAUUGUGGCCUAACACCAAGUCUUUGCAUCAGGUGAGGGCCCUAUGGGGUGUUGCACACAGAAGCUGCAGGUAAAGGGUUUGGCUUGGCUAAGUCCUUUUGAGUGGGGCAGUAUCGCAGCCCCCUCUUUGAAACCACAAACCAGACUGUAUGAUGAUUAAAGGCCAAUGAUACCUGCUCAAAGUCAAUGAAUCCAAUAUCAGAUCAUUCUACGUGCAUGCGUGCAGCAUCUAUAAGGGCUAAGGAAGAAGAGAAGCAAUGAUGACAAGCUUAUGAAUCAUUAUAUACUACAACAUUUGGCACAUUUUCAGCAUUACAAUUAGAUAGACAUGUGGCGGUAACACUAAACUAUUGACUAAUACUUUACUACAUCCAACUCUUGCUCCUGCAUUCCCUGUUGUAAUGCUGGGUUCAUAUGUCCAGCUGCAUAUUUGUUAUAAUUUUAAUUAGCUAACAUCAAAUCGUAAAAAGAAAACAUGAUAUUUUUAUGGGCAAAUGGACAAAAGUCGUGAUGAGCAAAUAUUAUUGAUAAAAAAUCACAAAAUCAUCAUACCAAGAGAUAAAUAAUGAAGAAUAAACAAUUAUGUCAGGCUUAAUCCCAUCAAAUCAUUAUUAUAAACAUCUAGACUAAAAUGAAGAUCCUUAUAAUAGUGUCCAAAGAUAUAUAUAACUCUUCCAGUCAUAAACAAGAAUUGAUUUGGACACAAAUAUUGUUACAAUGUUCAAAGAUUUAGCAACUUGUUUUCUCAUUUGGAGGUCCUAAUAAUCAUAAUGUCAUAUAUUUCUUACUUAGAAAAGAUCAGAAAAGGUAUUAACUUCGUUUUAUCCACAAGAAUUAGGUGGACGCACGACGCCGCCACCAAUUUUCUUUCUCCAAAUCCACAAAUUGGUUACCCAAUAGUGCAAACCAGUAUGAAAAAUUCAAGUCUAUUUCCUGUAAAUAAGAAUUUUUUUACAAAUCCAAAUUUGGUACAACAGCACAUUAUUGUAAUCAAUUCAAUGGGGAAUUAAUAUUUAGAGACAUAUUAAUCAUGCUUUCUUUUUAUUUUGUUCAGUUAGAAUUCUUUUAUGAUGUGUAGUAGACAAGUUUCGAGUUCAUAUACAAAUAUAGUUAAUUUUGUGAGUUCAUUCUGAAAUCAUUUAUAGAAAUGCCCUCCUAUAUUGAACUUAAGGCUUGAUAACUUAAUAAAAUUGAUUCAUAUCCUUUUUUGAAAAAUGAUAUUUAAUAAUUUUAAAUUUUAAAUUUUAGUAUUUGUAAUUUUAGCAUUUAAUUUUCAGAGAGAGACUUUUUUUUAUAUCUCAUAACGUAUAGAUUCGUAGAUCUAUCGCUAAUUAUAACUUAAGAAGUCAGCAUCAAUAUUUUUUAUUAAAUGUGAAUGGUCACCUAAUUAAUCUAUUUUUUAUACUCAUCCUAAACUUAAUCUAGGCUUCUAAAAAAGUUUUUUGUCUACAUUUCAGAACAUAAUUUGGGAAUUCAAUUAUCUAUGGAAAAGUUUAUAGCACCUUUAUAUGCCCAUCUAAAGGACGAUAAUAUUUAAUUUUAAAUUAUCUUAAGGAUCUAUGGUUCUAAUAGUCUUUAAUUAAACUUUACUAUUCAAAUAUUAGAUACAACUUUUAAGAUUUUUUCAUCGAUCUAACAGAAUUUUUCAAAAUACUUCUUUAUCUCAAAAGCAUUCAACAAUUUCAUUUGUUUUCUUAGAAGCUCCGUCACAGGAAAAAAGCUUAAUCAAUUAUUUAUUUUUAUUUAAUUUUAUUUUAUUGAAAAUAUAUCUAAUUCUUCCACGAUUUGAACUAAAAUUAGAAAUAUUUUCUCAUAUAAAAAUUCAUUAGAUAAUCAUUCAUUUGCAAUUAUUAAGAAUUUUAUCCACGAAAUUUACUCGUUAUUUUGGUAAAAAUAUUUCUUUAUUUUGGUAAAUCAUUCAUUUAGAUUUUUAUUGUCACAUUUUAUUCAUUGUUUAUUUUUUUAUUUUUAUAACAAAAAUAAAAUGCCAUUUAUUGCUCAAAAUCUCAUCCAAAUUCUUUCACUAUUUAGGUUGAAUUUAAAAAAAAAACCUUUCACAUAACAAUUUCAUAGAAAUUCAACUAUUUGUGAUUUUUCUUCGGAAUUCAUCGUUAAAUAAUUAUCAUAUAUUUUCAAACAAAUUUACAAGUUCUAUUAUUAUUAUUAUUAUUAUUAUUAUUAUUAUAUUUGAAAGGGAAUGGAAUUACUUUUAUUAAAAUUUUUGUUUAAAUUAUUUCACUAUUGGGGUUAAAUUUAGAGAAAUUCAUUACUUAUAAAUUUUUUUAUGAAAUUUACCAUUUGAAAUUUUUAAAAAUCUCAUUAUAAAAUAGUUGUUAACUCACUUUAGUAAAAUUAUUUUUUUUUGUAAUUUGAAAAUAAAUAAAAAUAAUUGUAAUUGAAACUUUAUCUAAAUUUUUCCUCAAUUUGGAGUCAAAUUUAAAAAAUUUUCUUAUCUAAAAGUUAACUAAUUAUAAUUUCUAAGAAAUUCAUCUUCGAAUAAUUAUAAUUUAUUUUCAAAAUUUUAUUGAAGUCUUAAUUUAUAUAUAUUUAUAAAUUAGAAUAACUUACUAUGAGUUUUCCUAAUUAUUUAAUCAUCCAAAAUUAUUUUAAAAAUAAGUAAAUAAAAAAAAUUAAAAAAAGAGUUGGCUCGGUUUAGCUAGAUUUGAAGCUCGAUUGUAAGAACAAAAACCGGCUAGAGUAGCUCGGAAUUGGCUUGGUUUAAUGGUUUGAAAAUCAACCUAACAUUAAUUGGGUCAGACCCUUAUUAGGUUGAGGCGCAAACCACUAAAAUGGGUUAAAGAAUUUGAUUCCUUGGAGCUUCAAAUGACAUCGUUUUUUGUCCAUGUAUAAAACCAAAAAAAUUUUGCUUUUCUUUCUUCAUCCCUUCAAAUUCUUUCUUUUUCUCUCAAAUACAAAACCCAAAAUUUUAAAAACUCUAAAACACAGCCUUCAGAUAUUUAUAUUCCCAAGAAACCAGUGAAUAAUCCCUAUGCUAACAGCUUUACUCCACCAUCAGCUGUCGAGCUCUAACUACCGUUUCGUUUUAAAAUUCACUAGAAAUUUUGCUUCGACCUCUUUUUUUACAUUUUUGAACUAGUUUCUUCAAAAACUUGCUAGAUUUUUGUCAAUUUGAAUUUGAAGUUAUGGUUUUAUCUCACCUUUUCACCGCUCCAAUGACCUUUAAAUUUAAGAAUGUUUUUCCUUUCCUUCGAUCUUUCUCUUUGUCGAUUUUAAGGCCUUAAAUAUUUUUAAGACACUUUGAACACAAAACCUAAUAGAUAAAGCCCUUUCUUUUCUAUUUUUUUUAUGUUGAACUAUUUUUUUUUUUAUAUAUUUUGGUUGUGUAAAUCUCAAGUUGUGAACUUGGACUAUUGGAUGGUAACAAUAGUUGUCGUUAAAGGUUAACGAUGACUCUGGUCUUAGUGGUAGCGAGUUGUUGUGCUGGUUGUCAGGUAAUUGUGAAUGUUUGAUUGCUUUUGUCUAUUGUGGUGGUGAUUAUAGAUGGUUGUGACUGAUGAACUAUGAAUUGGCCACUAAUUGUUGGGUUAAGCUUGAUUCGAGUUUUCAAUCCCUUUAUUUGUUCCCUGUGUAUUCUUGAAUUGGUUGGGUUGAAAUGAAGCUCGAUUUGGAUGAAAAUUAUGGCUUAGGUUUUUUUGUUUUGUGUAAUGGCUUAGUCGUGUGUGAUUAAAGGUUAAAUUUGUUAAAAAUGCUUGUUGUAAAAUGACUUUGUGAUUGUUGGCUGGAAGUUCAAUGCAGUUGCCAAGUUAUUGCUAAAUGCUGCUUUUGUGUGUUUUACUGAUAGUGUGUAAGUGUAAUCAAAUUCUAGGUGAUGAUGUUUGAAAAUUGGUUUAUGUUUUGGUUGGGAGAUUAUGGUUUUUGCUAGGAAUUUGCUGAUGGGUGGUUGGUGAUGGCAAUGGCAAAGGACUUGAAAUUUAGUGAUAGAGCUGUGGUGGUAAUAGCAAUGGCAAGGGAAAUCAGCUUAAGCUCUCUUGUUUUCUGGUGUUUUCCUCUAAUUUGCUCUUUGAUUGUUGUGUGUUUUUGCUUUGUGAAUUUAGGUCUAUUUAUAGCACAAGCUUAGAAAUUUUGACAUAGAAAUAUCAAUGGAACGAGUUUAACAAGAGUAGAACAAUUUUCAUCCCUAAUUAUAUAAUUUGUCCUAAUCUUCAUCCUCAUUACCAUAGGUAUUUAACGGGUAUAGGUAAUCCACGUAUCUAUUUCUUUAAAAAAAUUAAAUAUUUCAAUAUUCCUCAAAAUAAGUAAAAACUUAACAAUAAACAUAUUAAAUAAAAUACGAUACAACAUUAAUGCAAAUACCAAUUUAGAUCUGAAAUUCAAAAAAAUUUUAAACAAGUUUAGCCAAUGAAUAAUUCAUAUGUUUUUUCUAAGAUUUCACUUGAUAGAUCAUAAUACUUCAUAAAAACCUAUUGAAAAUCAAUAAAAAGAAACAUUUUAUUCAUAAUAGAUAAUAAUAAUGAAUAAUAAUAAUAAUAAUAUAAUAAUAAUAAAAAUAAUAAUAAUAAUAUAAUAAUGAUGAUGAUGAUGAUCGUGUUAAACAAUUUAAUUUAAACUUAAUACAUAAAAUUUUUUUUUAUCAAUGUAUGUAAUAAAUACCUAUUGCAACUCUUUUUAAAUUUUAGAAUCAUCAAGAAUAGUGCCACGGUAUCCAUCAUUUUCUUUUGAAGAUAGACCUAAAAAAAUAUAUCAUUUAAAGUUAUACAUAAUAUAAUAAAAUAAUGAAAUCAUUAAUUCUUUUCAAUUGAAUUUAAUAAUUUCUAUAUCUUUUAACAACCAAUUUUGUGCACAUAUUAAAACUUCUAAAGUAGUUGUAUGAAGCCUAUUAUGAUGAGGACUCAUCAAUCCACAAGUGCUAAAAGUAGAUUCUGAAACUAUUGUGAAAAUCAGAAUAGCCAAGAUAUCCCUAGCAAUCUUUUGUAAAGUUGGGUAAUAAAGUUCACCACUUUUCCACCAAAAUAAUAUAUCAAAAAUUUGAAGUUCUGGGCAAAACUUUCUCUUCCAAGUAAUGAUCUAACUUAGAUUUAGCUAAUGAAUCAUUUUAAUUGCUAACAAAAGAGUCAUAUCCAUCAAAAAAGUUAUGAUUGAUAAGAUUAUUCACCUGUGAGACAUUAGAUGAAACUCCAUCUCCAUAAUACAUAUUUUUAGGUCUUGAAGACCUUUGAUAUUCAUUCAACUAGUCAUAACAAAAGUUUUUAAUCCUUUAAAUCUCAAAAUCAGUUGAUGUUCAAUAAUUUUAGGGAAAGAAAUAUUGCAACAACUUCAGUUUAUAUCUUGGAUCAAAGACAAUAGCCAUUCCCACAAUUCAAUGAACUAUCUCCUAAUAUGUAUCAAACUUAUAUAACAUACUUAUGGCCAUAUUUCUAAUAGUUUCAAUAGGAGAUGAAGUCUAAGUGUUUAAAGAAAGUUUGAUCUCACACAUCAAUGGAUAAAAAACAUUGGAUGUCGGAUUUUUUUCCCUAAAAAUGCAUUAAUGGCAUUAUAAAAUACUUUUAACCUUUCACAAAUCUCUUUACCUAGCAUCUAAUCUUGUCUAGUUAUUACAAUAGUAUAUAAAAGCUCUCAUUGCAACAAAUGAUCAAAGACAUCAUUAUAUAUCAAAGCAACACUAAGCAUUAAAUAUGUGAAGUUCUAUCGAGUCUUACAAUCAAGGACUAAUGUUUUGGAAGAAUCAAUGUGCAAAUGUCUCAUAUUUUCUGUAAAAGUUUGUUUCCUUUUUGGUGUGGCUAUCCAAAAGCCAACACUAUCCCUAAUUAUUUCUAUUCCAUCACUUAUAACCUUUAACCCAUUUUAGACAAUCAAAUUCAAAAUAUGUACAUAACAACACAUGUGAAACAAUUUUCCAUCUAAUAAAAGAUAAUUAGGAUUGAGCUUGGUCAUAAAGAUGUCAAUUAUAGCAUCAUUAGUAGAACAAUUAUCAACAGUCAAUGUGGAUAAUUUUUUGCAAUAUUCCAAUCAAAUAAGCAAUUUAGUAACUCAUUGGAAAAAGCAACCGCUAUACAUGGAGAAAGCACAUAGUCAAGCCUAAAAUUCAAAUAUAACCCUAAAAUUCAAAUAUAACAAGUAUAAGACUAAUAAGGCAAAACAUACUUAUAAAAUAAAUUGUUGUAUUUAGCCAAGUAUAGUAAGACCAAACUUUGCAAAUCCCAAUUGUUAUCAAUGAAGUGUGUCAUAACAAUCAUGAAUCUUUUUUUUUUUUUUUGGUUUGAAGUUGUCUGCAUAUCCGUAAUUAUUACAGUCAUACUUGAAUUUUUCUCUUAUAACUCUAUAGUUUAGAUUUUUAAAUUCAUAAAUCUUCAAAAUGUCACUUUUAACUGUAUUUUGAAAAGGAAUAUUGAAUAAUGGUUAAAGAGUAGCUAAAUACUUUUUGAACUCAAAAUGUUCAACUAUUGAAAUUGGAUAUUCAUGCAUUAUUAUCAUACCAGCAAGGUUAUUUCUCGAAGAUUCUUAAUCAAAUAUAUAAUUGUUGGGGAGAUAAACUAUACUUGGAGCCCAUAAGAGCACACUAGAGAGCCUAUACAUAUAUGUUAGAUACCACUUGAGCACAAAAGUUUAAGCUAUUUGGAUCUUUGGUCCUUCAUGCAUAUAUAGGACAUUUUAUUCAAAUUUUCUAAUGAUGUGAGAUUCUUUACUCAUAUGUGAACCAUAUUCUAACAAUCUCCCUCAUUUGCUUAUGAGUUUUGAUUAAGUCCCAUCUCAACUCUUCCGUACGAGUAAAUUCUAUCAACACUUUAUUUGGGCCAAGCAGUCUCACAUCUUUAGUGCAUUUUUUAGGCUAGGCCAUAGUACUCAACUUUGUCACCUAGGUUAUCUUAUUGCUUCUUCAAACUUACACUCUAGGUUAACUCAACAUAUCGCCCACUUAGGUGUUCUAUUUUUUGCAUAUUAUUAUAUACUUGCUGCAUCUAAGUCAAACCUUUUAAUAUCGAUAUUCAAACAUAUAGAGUUGAUAGACGUAUCUAACAUUCGAUCUGCCAAUAUUCUCCCCCUAUCAAUACCACUGGAACUCUAACUCGUAACUUUGGCUUUGAUAAUACUUGUUGGGGAGAUAAAUCACACUUGAAAUUUAUGAGAGCAUAGUAAAGAGCCCUACAAGUUGGAAAUCAUUUGAGCUCAAAAGCUUACGCUAUUAGGUUCUUAGGUCCUUCAUGCAUAUAUAGGACAUCUUAUUUAGAUUUUUUAAUGAUGUGAAAUUCUUUACUCACAUGUAAACCAUAUCCUAAUAGUAAUUACUUGUAGCCAUUUUUUCAUCUACCUUCCACUGUUGUUGUACGAAUGUUUGUUGCCUUACAUUUCUAUAAGGCCUAUGUUUACAAAUGUUGUUAUGCUGAUGCAAGUAGUUUGUUCCAUUUGUGUUUUUUCCUCCAAGCCUUUUGUGGCAAUAAUUGCACUCCGUUUUAUCAAUUCCAUCAACUUUGAUCUUUUUAAAAUGCUGCCAAACUUCAUAUUUCAAUUUUUUUUUUUACCAAUUGUUGGAUCUCCUUUCUCUUUGUUUGACAUAAAAGUUUUGGGUUUAUCAUCAUCAACGUCAAUAGGUGACUCUAUAGGCAAGUUGAUAAGAGUUAAUGAACUGUUACUUUCCAUUUUAGCCUAAAUAAAAGUAAUAUCUAAAAAAAUAAAAUAUUGAAAAUAUUAAAUCACUACAUUCUAUGAAAUUAGUAUAUCUCAAUAAGAUCAAAUUGAACUCACAAUAAAUUCAAAUUAUUCUCUUCAUCACAAGAUAUUGACUAAAAAAUAAUUGAUUAAAAUUAAAAGUUCAAAGCAUGUACAUAUAAAAAGUUUUUAAAACUAAAAAAAAAAAACUACUUGAUUUUUUUUUUUUACUUUAUAGCAUAAUUCGGAAAGGUAAUGCAAGUAGAAAUUUUUAUUUAAAAAUUCAUUCCAUCCCAAUUAUCAAUCAUUGAGAAAAAAAUAAUAUUUUUGAUAUUUUUAAUAUUUUUUUUGUUUGGUGCUUACAAAAUUUAGUGAUUUUCAGACCUUGAAACCUGACCACACCCUCUUUGGCCAUCAUUGAAACAUCAAGUCUUUCAUAUUUUCUGUGUUUAUGAUCUUAACCUUUUUCAUUUUUCUUUCACUAAUAUCCCAAGGUUUUGCUUAAUGAAUCAUGAUGGUUAGAACAUACAAAAUUAUAUAAGUAACAAAAAGUGGGGAAUUUUCAAUUACAUUAUGAAACAAAUGUAGAAACAGGCACAAAUAUGUUAAGGCGUUAAAUUCAACAAUUUUGUCCCGACUUCCUCAUAUAUUUUAGUCUCCUAUUGUUACCAUACUAGUUAUCACUUUUCAAUGAUGUUUUAGGUAAAAAAUAGUCUAAGUGUAAUAAUUCAUGUGAUUAGAUAAAUAGUAUAUUUUAUUAGUAGGAAUAAAGAAUAUAAAGUAAACACAAUGGGAGUGACAAGAAAGCUUACUCUUAACUUGCAAGAGCUUUGGAUUCUUUAGGUUUCUCCUCAAGCUGAGGUGGAGCCAUAUAGUUUUUCAAAUUCAGUUUUUGAAGCCUAUUAGAUAGCCAAAGAAUAAAGAUUGAAGAAGAAUUUCUAUAGAAAAUAAAAGAGCAAAGUAAGAAACGACUUUAGUUUUAUCAAAGUAUAAAAUAGUGAAAAAGAUGUAGUCCUAAAAGCUAAUUAAUUUAAAAUAAAAAUUUAUGAUAUUAAUAAAAAUUUUACUUACUAAUUAUAUAUAAUUAUAUAUAAAUAUAUUUGGUACAGGUGUGGAGUGGGUGCUAUAUUAUCUGUUCCAUCCUCAUACUUGAUAGGUAUUUCAAAAUCAUACCCAUCCCCAAAAUUUAAUACUCAUACCUAUAUCCAUCCCUAUUCGGGUAAAAUAUUGGGUUCCCCAUUAGGUUUGGAUUAACAUCCCUAAUUUGAGAUCAACUCAAAGUGAGGAUUAUCAACUUCAAGUUUUCUUGGCUUAUUAACAAGCCAACUUUCGAUUUUUCUUUUCAUUUUUUUAUUGUGAAAUAAUCAAUUAUCUUAAUAAGAUAAUUAAAAUUAAGGAUUAAGGAUAAGAUAACAAACCAAAAAAAAAGUAAAACAAAUAAACAUAAAAUAAAAAAUAGAUAAAAUAAUAAAAAUAUAUAAAAAUAAAUAGAACAAAAUAAUAAACAGGAUCAAUGCAAAUAAAAGAUAUGAAAUACAAAAAUAUAAAUAAAUAAAAAUAUAACUAAAUAAAAACAAUUGGGCUCGAACAAAAUCCAAGCCCAAUUAGUUUAGAUUUUUGGGCCUAAAAUUAAGUUGGGUCCAAUUAGCUUAGACCUUUAACUAAAUAAGGUAUAUACAUUUUAUAUAUAAAAAAUCUAGAUAGUGGCAUAAGGUAUGUCAAAACAUUCUAAUUUCAUAAAUUUUAAUAAUUACAUAUAGUGAAUUGUUUUAAGGACAAAGAUUUACUAUUGGAAUUCAUCUCAUUCUCUCUUUUAAGCUUCCUCAUUUAUGUAUCCAAAAAUUCGUAAAGACUAAGCUAUUUAGAUUUAUUUAUUUAUUCAGUUUUUGGUUUAAAAUGCCCAUCUUAUCUUUUUGUAAAUGCUAAAAGUGGAAAUUAUCAAAUGAGAAUGGUAAAAAAUUAAGCCUUUGAAAUAAAAAGAAUGAGCAAGAAUAUAAAUCAAUUUAUGACCUAAAAAGAAGAUGUGAAAAGCCAUGAAGCUUACACAUACAAAUCAUCCCUACCCAUCUAGUUUUCAGCUGGCUAGAAGGAUAUUCAGUUCUUCACUAAAUUUUUGCUUAUGAUGGGUUCUUCCAAAAGCAGCUGCUAUCUUAUUAAAAUGUUUCCAACUCAGCCCCAUAUAUAUCUAUCUCAAAGGCUAAAUAUGACAAGAUUUGGUACAAUGUUACCACUACGACAGCCAUACCUAACUACUUCCCAAAACUAUCACUCAAGCCAAAGCGCGAUGAUCAAUAGUAAAGUUUCUAGAGUUGAUCCACCAUAUGUCAAUUACAAUUCUAGCUCAUUUGGUAACACGGUUAAAGAAACUUUUAUGUUAUUAUAAUUAUGUUUUAUGAUUGAACUUUUAAGAAUUCAAUCAUAAAACGAUAUCAUGGUGCAAUAAAAAUCUCCCUCACCACAUUAUCAAAAGAACUUUAAAUCUAUUUCUUGUGUUAAAACUUUAAUUAUCGACAUGGAGUUUUUAUUUAAAAAUGACUGCUAUGUUAGAAAAAAAAAACACAAGUUUAAUGACAAAUCACAUAUUACAUGUGAGAUAUACUAAUGCCAAAUAACACUAAACUCAAAUAUGAUAUGGCAUAACAAAACAAUAGAUUAACUAUUUUUUUGUCUUUAGAUUAUUUUCUUUAGGCAAAUUUUUUUUACAUGGCAUAUUUUUACUCAAAAAAAAUAUAACUUCUUAUAAUGCACACCUACAUAUUUCUAAAAAAAAAAAUUGUAAGUAAUUAUGAUUAAAAUUGAAGAAAUUGAUAACUUAAUUACAUUAAUAGUUAUGGUCAAACCACUAGUAAGCAUAUGCUUUAAAUUAAUAAUAAUAAUAUGUUUUACUAACCUCAACUAUUAUUAUCCACCAUAAAUUUGUUGAUUAAUUAGUUAUUCAUUAGUGCAAGAGUUUUUAAGAUAAUUCAAGAAGCAAGACAAGUACUCCAUAAUUUUGGCCAAUCUAUCUUAAAUCGUUUGUUGUUUAUUAGCGGUUAAAAGAGACAUUGUGAUAUACCAUAAGAGUUGAUUAAUUAGUUAUUCAUUAGUGCAAGAGUUUUUAAGAUAAUUCAAGAAGCAAGACAAGUACUCCAUAAUUUUGUCCAAUCUAUCUUAAAUCGUUUGUUGUUUAUUAGCGGUUAAAAGAGACAUUGUGAUAUACCAUAAGAGUUGAAUUUGAAUCCAAAUACUUUAGACUUUAACUCCAAUAUUAAAAAAAAUUAAUCUUUUUAAAUUAUUUUCUUUCAUUUAUUGAACUACAAACUGUUUAGUGAAGUCAAUUAAUCUAAUUAACAUGUAGCCCAUUAAAUCAAGUUUAUAAAAAUUAUCUUCAAAUCUUGACAAGAUAUCAUUGUAAAUUUUGCGUAGUUCAAGUAUAAUAAAUAACUAUUUAUGUAAAUUAAUGUAAACCUAAUAAUGCAAAAUUUUGAUUUUUUUUAAAGGUAAAACUCUCUUUAAAAAGAGGCAUAUGAGCCAAAAGUCGAGUUAGCCAAGGUAAGUAAGAUGUAACAUUAAAUGCAAUAUCAAAUUAUACAAGUUCUUAAGUGUAGGUUUGUACGAAAAAUUUUAAAAUUCUAAAAAAAAUUAAAAUGAAUGUGCUCUAAAAUGAAUUAAUUGUUUGAAUAGAUAUUUUUAUAAAUAAAUUUUGGUUAUUAAAUUUGAUGAGAUUAAAAAAAUAACAAUAAUAAAGAAUAAAAUAAAAUUCGAAGAAAAAUAAAAUAUUCAAGACAUAUCAUAGAUAUAAUAUAUAUUAUAUUAACAUUAAAGAAUGUAGUUAAUUUUUUUUAGUAAAAAAUGCAACUAAAUGUUAAUUUAGAUCUCUGUUGAUAAAAGGUCUCACACGAAGUACUUACAUUUGCAUUUAUUCUCUAUUUGUACCUAAUCUAAAAAACAAAUAGUUUUACAUAUUUCAAAAGAGAAAGAUACAAAUACACAUUAAAACAAAAUAGCAAAAUAUCCACUUGUGGAUCAUAGUUUAUAUAAGAUUGGUGCAUGUAAAUUUGGUGGCAUAAAAUCAUUGCAAAUGGUAUUGCCACUUAAAACUUGCAAGUAAAUUUAUGAAUCAUCAUUUCUACUAGUAUUAUGAAACAUAAAACCUAUUUUAGAAAUUAAAAUAAUUAUCGAAAAAGUAAAUUUAUUGUAAAUAUUUGUAAGGUAAAGUUAAAAAACAUAUCAUCAGCACUUAUAAAAGAGAAAAAUAAAUGCUUUUGUAAAUUGUAACUUUAUACUUCACAAAAUAUGAAGAAGUAUACAUAAAAGUUGAUAAUAAAUGCAGAGAAAUAUAUUUGGCUUUAAGAGUUUUAUUGAAUUAUUUGUUUUAAUAUUAAUAUUUAAUUUUAAUUAUUAUUUUAAUAUAAUCCAUGAUUUGAUUCAAUAAAUUUUUAAAAUUUUAAAUGUUAAAUAAUAUUAAAAUAUACAUAAAAAUUAAAUUAUUGUUACAUUUGUAAAUUAAUCAUCUUAAUAGUCAUUUUUUCUGUUUAUAAUUUAUCUUACAAACAUUAUUGCUUUUAAAUUUAACAUAUAUUGUAAUACUAAUUUUAAUCUUACUACUAUAUUAAUUAAUAUUGUCAAUCUUAAGAAAUAUAAUUUUACAAUCCAUCUAAAUGAACUAUGAUUUAAAUAUCCAAAUUGGAUAGACAAGAUUUUGGAUGAUAGUUUCGAAACAGCCCUCAAUUGGUAAGAUCCGAACCCAUUAUAGUAACAUUAAAUGAUUUAAAUGGAGCGCGUCAAUUAGGCGGUGCGUAGGUGUCUCAUCCGACAAGUAAGCAGCUGAAGGAAGAAGAAUUGGAGCUUUCGGUUUGUUUUUUUGAUGACGAUGAUGAUGAUGAGGAUGAGGGGUUGGAGAAACUCUUCUCUCUCUUCUUUUUUUUCUGCCUUUGAUCAUCUUCGACAAUGGGGAUCGGGUAACUCUAGAUCUGCCACUUUUCUCUUUUAUUCCCAAAUCUCUUAUUUCUCCACUACCCAUUGCGAGGAGAAACCCAAGUAUGAGUUUCAUCAAAUUGAUGGUGCCUUAAACAGGUUUGAUCAGAUGCUACAUAUGCAACCACGUCCCUCUAUUGUCGAAUUUAAUCAAUUAUUAGGGGCCGUUGUUAGAAUGAAGUAUUAUGAAACUGCGGUUACUCUGUUGAGAAAAAUGGAAUUACUAGGAAUUUAUCCUGAUGUUUAUACUCUCAACAUUUUGAUAAAUUCUUUUUGCCGCUUGCAUCGCGUGGAUUUUGGGUUUUCCGUUUUGGGGAAGAUGUUGAAGCUGGGUCUUCAACCUGAUACUGUAACAUUCAGCACGCUCAUCAAUGGAUUGUGUAUUCGAGGCAAAAUAGCUAAAGCUGUGAGGUUGUUUGAUGACAUGGUUCGAGAAGGGUAUCAGCCUAAUUUAAUCAGUUAUAAUAUCAUAGUAAAUGGUCUUUGUAAAAUAGGUGAUACUACUCGGGCUAUUCUAUUGCUAAGGACUAUGGAAGAAAUAGGUUUUGCACCUGACCGUGCAACAUACAACACUGUCAUCGACGGCCUUUGUAAGGACAACAAUGUAACCGAGGCUUUGAAGCUUUUCUCAGAAAUGAGAGGUAAAGGCAUUCCACCAAAUGUUGUCACUUAUAAUUCCUUAAUUCAUGCUAUGUGUAAUUCAUGUCAGUGGAAGGAGGUUACAAGAUUAUUGAAUGAAAUGCUGGCGAACAACUGCAAGCCUGAUGUCUUCACAUAUAAUACUGUGGUUGAUGCCCUUUGUAAAGAGGGUAGGGUUGUAGAGGCUAAAAAUAUUUUUAAAAGAAUGAUUCAACAAGGUGUUGAGCCUAAUAUAGUUACUUAUAAUUCAUUGCUUGAUGGAUAUUGUUUGCGAGGUGAAAUGGAUGCGGCUAGAACAUUAUUCAAUUCAAUAACUAACAAGGGUUGUGUACCUGAUGAAUUUACUUACAGC
rnacentral:lncRNA from 1 species